GACGAACGCUGGUUGCGUGCUUAACACAUGCAAGUCGAACGGAAAGGCCCUGCUUUUGUGGGGUGCUCGAGUGGCGAACGGGUGAGUAACACGUGAGUAACCUGCCCUUGACUUUGGGAUAACUUCAGGAAACUGGGGCUAAUACCGGAUAGGAGCUCCUGCUGCAUGGUGGGGGUUGGAAAGUUUCGGCGGUUGGGGAUGGACUCGCGGCUUAUCAGCUUGUUGGUGGGGUAGUGGCUUACCAAGGCUUUGACGGGUAGCCGGCCUGAGAGGGUGACCGGCCACAUUGGGACUGAGAUACGGCCCAGACUCCUACGGGAGGCAGCAGUGGGGAAUAUUGCACAAUGGGCGGAAGCCUGAUGCAGCAACGCCGCGUGCGGGAUGACGGCCUUCGGGUUGUAAACCGCUUUCGCCUGUGACGAAGCGUGAGUGACGGUAAUGGGUAAAGAAGCACCGGCUAACUACGUGCCAGCAGCCGCGGUGAUACGUAGGGUGCGAGCGUUGUCCGGAUUUAUUGGGCGUAAAGGGCUCGUAGGUGGUUGAUCGCGUCGGAAGUGUAAUCUUGGGGCUUAACCCUGAGCGUGCUUUCGAUACGGGUUGACUUGAGGAAGGUAGGGGAGAAUGGAAUUCCUGGUGGAGCGGUGGAAUGCGCAGAUAUCAGGAGGAACACCAGUGGCGAAGGCGGUUCUCUGGGCCUUUCCUGACGCUGAGGAGCGAAAGCGUGGGGAGCGAACAGGCUUAGAUACCCUGGUAGUCCACGCUGUAAACGGUGGGUACUAGGUGUGGGGUCCAUUCCACGGGUUCCGUGCCGUAGCUAACGCUUUAAGUACCCCGCCUGGGGAGUACGGCCGCAAGGCUAAAACUCAAAGGAAUUGACGGGGCCCCGCACAAGCGGCGGAGCAUGCGGAUUAAUUCGAUGCAACGCGUAGAACCUUACCUGGGUUUGACAUGGAUCGGGAGCGCUCAGAGAUGGGUGUGCCUCUUUUGGGGUCGGUUCACAGGUGGUGCAUGGCUGUCGUCAGCUCGUGUCGUGAGAUGUUGGGUUAAGUCCCGCAACGAGCGCAACCCUUGUUCACUGUUGCCAGCACGUUAUGGUGGGGACUCAGUGGAGACCGCCGGGGUCAACUCGGAGGAAGGUGGGGAUGACGUCAAGUCAUCAUGCCCCUUAUGUCCAGGGCUUCACGCAUGCUACAAUGGCUGGUACAGAGAGUGGCGAGCCUGUGAGGGUGAGCGAAUCUCGGAAAGCCGGUCUCAGUUCGGAUUGGGGUCUGCAACUCGACCUCAUGAAGUCGGAGUCGCUAGUAAUCGCAGAUCAGCAACGCUGCGGUGAAUACGUUCCCGGG
rnacentral:rRNA from 1 species